rnacentral:rRNA from 1 species
CUUGGUUUAGCAAGAGUGACGGGCGAUUUGUGCAUGAAAUUUGCCUCUUACAAAAUUAAUUCUUUUUAAUUUUUUUAUUUUAGGUCCUUUUUUAUUUUUCUAAAAGUUUCAAGGAAUUUAAAUUCUCUGUAUUCCAGGAUCUCUUUAUUAUUACCUUUGUCUUGAUUUGUUUUUGAUCUGUGGUUAGGGUUUAAAUUGACACUUUAGUGCGUGUUUCAACAAUGAUAUGAAAGGUGGAUAAACAAAGUUCAUUUAAUCGUGGGUUGUCGAUUACGAGCCAGAAUCCCCUAAGAAGUUCCUUCACCGCCACCUCAUUUGAAUUUCUCUUAUUUAAGUACUAUCCCAUAUGUUUUUAGAA